GUGGGGAAUUUUGGACAAUGGGCGAAAGCCUGAUCCAGCCAUGCCGCGUGCAGGAUGAAGGCCUUCGGGUUGUAAACUGCUUUUGUACGGAACGAAAAGACUCCUUCUAAUAAAGGGGGUCCAUGACGGUACCGUAAGAAUAAGCACCGGCUAACUACGUGCCAGCAGCCGCGGUAAUACGUAGGGUGCAAGCGUUAAUCGGAAUUACUGGGCGUAAAGCGUGCGCAGGCGGUUAUAUAAGACAGAUGUGAAAUCCCCGGGCUCAACCUGGGAACUGCAUUUGGGACUGUAUAGCUAGAGUACGGUAGAGGGGGAUGGAAUUCCGCGUGUAGCAGUGAAAUGCGUAGAUAUGCGGAGGAACACCGAUGGCGAAGGCAAUCCCCUGGACCUGUACUGACGCUCAUGCACGAAAGCGUGGGGAGCAAACAGGAUUAGAUACCCCAGUAGUCC
rnacentral:rRNA from 1 species